CUUUGAAGCUGGAGGAACCCUAGGGAUGCAAAUUCUUUCUCGAUCUGAUUCCCCAGCGGCACUUCCCGAUAUGAUUCCCCAUCCGUCGCCAGAAGUGAAUGGUGCCAGCGGCGCUUCCUGAUCUGAUUCCCCAUCCGAUCUCCGCGGACUCCAGGGUGGCGCUUCCGCGGACUCCAGGGCGGUGCUUCCACGGACUCCAGGGCGGAGGCAAGAGGAGUGAAGGGCGGCGCUUCCGCGGACUCCAGGGCAAAGGCAAGAGGAGUGAAGGGCGGCGCUCCCGCGGAGUUCUUACUGUGAAGUCCAGGGCUGAUUGACGCCGGUUCGCUUCUCGUCGGUACAGCCCUGGUCCGCUCGUUGUCGCCAGCCACGAGAGAGGUUUGCCGUCGUGGUCAAGGGGCGAUAUGGUGGUCGGAACAGACUGCAACGGCGCCGCAGCGGAACUGGAUGCUUUGUUGAAGUUGCAGUAGCUGGCCCAGUACAAUAUCCAUAUUGGCUGAAUUCUGUAGAGAGCGAAGUAAGAAACUGCAAUUUCAAGCUACUUUGUUUGAAAUGAAACAAAUAAUACCUUGGGUUGCUGGCUGCUUUCAGGACUUGUAGCAUAAUUUUGGUAUUGUGGGGAUUCAUAUGUUUGGCCAUGGUCUGUAUCUGAUCUGGAAAGUGUGUGAAUUUCUUGAUUGAUUCUGUCUUCCCAAGUGGGGGCCGUGGUCUGUAACUGGAAUGUUGUUAUCUUUAUUGUCCGCUGCUUGUUCGGCAUGCUCUUCAUUGUCAUGUUGAACUAUUGGAUCGCAUUUUUGCAAGGGAAGAGUGAUCUCUUGGACAACCUGUAUUUGAACAACAUGUAAGGAGAAGUUCUGGUCGUGUUAGUACUACAUAAGAACCUUACUAGUCCA